rnacentral:rRNA from 1 species
CUACCUUUUGCUACGGAAUAACUCAGGGAAACUUGUGCUAAUACCGUAUGUGCCCUUCGGGGGAAAGAUUUAUCGGCAAAGGAUGAGCCCGCGUUGGAUUAGCUAGUUGGUGGGGUAAAGGCCUACCAAGGCGACGAUCCAUAGCUGGUCUGAGAGGAUGAUCAGCCACACUGGGACUGAGACACGGCCCAGACUCCUACGGGAGGCAGCAGUGGGGAAUAUUGGACAAUGGGCGCAAGCCUGAUCCAGCCAUGCCGCGUGAGUGAUGACGGUCUUAGGAUUGUAAAGCUCUUUCACCGGUGAAGAUAAUGACGGUAACCGGAGAAGAAGCCCCGGCUAACUUCGUGCCAGCAGCCGCGGUAAUACGAAGGGGGCUAGCGUUGUUCGGAUUUACUGGGCGUAAAGCGCACGUAGGCGGACUUUUAAGUCAGGGGUGAAAUCCCGGGGCUCAACCCCGGAACUGCCUUUGAUACUGGAAGUCUUGAGUAUGGAAGAGGUGAGUGGAAUUCCGAGU